AGUUCCCUGCCGUGUUCGCCAAUGCCAUAUAUUCCUUGAACCAUUUUAGUGCAUAGGCCGUGGAACAUUAUUCGAUAGGUGUGAGCGUCGCUAGUCCGAUGAACCCGAAAUUGAAUUGACCGUGGCCAACUUGAACCGCUCAGGUUCAGGAUGCCGGCAUAGCGGCAUCGGUGGGGACUUA
rnacentral:other from 3 species